rnacentral:rRNA from 1 species
GGAGUUUGGACCGUGUCUCAGUUCCAAUGUGGGGGACCUUCCUCUCAGAACCCCUACUGAUCGUCGGCUAGGUGGGCCGUUACCCCGCCUACUACCUAAUCAGACGCAUCCCCAUCCAUCACCAAUGAAUCUUUACUCCUCGUUAGAUGUCUGCAAAGGAGACCAUCAGGUAUUAAUUCGCCUUUCGGCGGGCUAUCCCUGAGUGAUGGGAAGGUUGGAUACGCGUUACUCACCCGUGCGCCGGUCGUCAUCUGGCUGAGCAAGCUCAGCCAAUGUUACCCCUCGACUUGCAUGUGUUAAGCCUGUAGCUAGCGUUCAUC